GUAAGAGCGCAGGGUGGAUGCCUUGGCUCUCAGAGGCGAUGAAGGACGUGACAAGCUGCGAUAAGCCACGGGGAGGUGCAAAUAACCGAUGACCCGUGGAUUUCCGAAUGGGGCAACCCGGCACCGUGAAGCGGUGUCACUCCGUCUGUGACGGAGAGCGAACCCGGAGAACUGAAACAUCUAAGUACCCGGAGGAAAAGAAAACAAUAGUGAUUCCCUAAGUAGUGGCGAGCGAACGGGGAAUAGCCCAAACCAGUGUCGUUUCGGCGACACUGGGGUUGUAGGACUGCAAUAUGGAAUGAUCAUUCGAAGUAGAAUCUUCUGGAAAGUGGAACCAUAGAGGGUGAUAGUCCCGUACACGUAAGAAGGUUCAUUCCUAGCAGGAUCCUGAGUAGGGCGGGACACGAGAAAUCCUGUCUGAAUCUGCCAGGACCAUCUGGUAAGGCUAAAUACUCCUGAGAGACCGAUAGUGAACUAGUACCGUGAGGGAAAGGUGAAAAGAACCCCGAACAGGGGAGUGAAAUAGUACCUGAAACCUUGCGCUUACAAGCGGUCGGAGUCCCGUCUUUGGCGGGAUGACGGCGUGCCUUUUGCAUAAUGAGCCUACGAGUUGCUCCUCACUAGCAAGGUUAAGUCCUUCAGGGACGUAGCCGAAGCGAAAGCAAGUCUGAACAGGGCGUCUAGUUAGUGGGGGCAGACGCGAAACUUGGUGAUCUACCCAUGACCAGGUUGAAGCCCCGAUAACACGGGGUGGAGGACCGAACCAGUAGACGUUGAAAAGUCUUUGGAUGAGUUGUGGGUAGGGGUGAAAGGCCAAUCAAACUGAGAAAUAGCUCGUACUCCCCGAAAUGCAUUUAGGUGCAGCCUCGUGUUAAGUCUCAUAGAGGUAGAGCUACUGAUAAGGCUAGAGGGCUUCACCGCCUAUCAACCCUUGACAAACUCCGAAUGCUAUGAGAUGUUUCACGGGAGUGAGGCGUUGGGUGCUAAGGUCCGGCGCCAAAAGGGAAACAACCCAGACCAUCAGCUAAGGUCCCUAAAUAUAUGCUAAGUUGUUCAAACGUGGUGCGACUGCUUUGACAGCUAGGAUGUUGGCUUGGAAGCAGCCAUUCAUUUAAAGAGUGCGUAACAGCUCACUAGUCGAGCGGUCGUGCGUGGAUAAUAAUCGGGCAUGAAGCAUAUUACCGAAGCUAUGGUUCUUCCGCCUCUGGCGGGGGAAGGUAGGGGAGCAUUCCAGUUGUGCCGAAGCUGUGCCGUGAGGCAUGGUGGAACGGCUGGAAAAGAAAAUGUAGGCAUAAGUAACGAUAAAGCAGGCGAGAAACCUGCUCACCGUAAGACUAAGGUUUCCUGAUCAACGCUAAUCGGAUCAGGGUUAGUCGGGUCCUAAGGUGAAGCCGAAUGGCGUAGCCGAUGGAUAACAGGUUAAUAUUCCUGUACUGGCCAAUACUGCGAUGGGGUGACGGAGGAGUGAAAGGUCCGCGUACUGACGGAAUAGUACGUUGAAGGGUGUAGGUAUAUUCCCGGGUUAACAGCUCGGGGGUGCUGAACCUGAUAGUACCGUGAGCCUUCGGGCAAGCGGAUAGUGACCCUAAUCAGGCUUCCAAGAAAAACCUCUAAGCUUCAGGUAUUGGCUACCCGUACCGCAAACCGACACAGGUAGUCAGGGAGAGUAUCCUAAGGUGCUCGAGUGAUUCAUGGCUAAGGAACUAGGCAAAAUGGUCCUGUAACUUCGGAAUAAAGGACUCCCGCUUCUGGCGGGACGCAGAGAAAUGGCCCAGGCGACUGUUUAUCAAAAACACAAGGCUCUGCUAAAUCGAAAGAUGAUGUAUAGGGUCUGACACCUGCCCGGUGCUGGAAGGUUAAGAGGGGGGGUUAUCCCUGACAACUCGUUGGGGAGAAGCUCUGAAUCGAAGCCCCAGUAAACGGCGGCCGUAACUAUAACGGUCCUAAGGUAGCGAAAUUCCUUGUCGGGUAAGUUCCGACCUGCACGAAUGGUGUAACGAUCUGGGCACUGUCUCAGCCAUGAGCUCGGUGAAAUUGUAGUUCCGGUGAAGAUGCCGGAUACCCGCAACGGGACGGAAAGACCCCGUGAACCUUUACUACAGCUUAACAUUGGUUUUGGAUAUGCGAUGUGUAGGAUAGCUGGGAGACUGUGAAGCGGCUUCGCCAGGAGCCGUGGAGUCACCGUUGAAAUACCAGCCUUUGCUUAUCUGGAAUCUAACCCCGACAAUAUGUCAGGGGACAGUGUUUGGUGGGUAGUUUGACUGGGGUGGUCGCCUCCAAAAGAGUAACGGAGGCUCCCAAAGGUGCCCUCAGCAUGAAUGGUAACCAUGCGUAGAGUGUAAUGGCAUAAGGGCGCUUGACUGUGAGACUGACAAGUCGAUCAGGAACGAAAGUUGGGCAUAGUGAUCCGGUGGUUCCGUAUGGAAGGGCCAUCGCUCAAAGGAUAAAAGGUACUCCGGGGAUAACAGGCUGAUCGCUCCCAAGAGCUCAUAUCGACGGAGCGGUUUGGCACCUCGAUGUCGGCUCGUCACAUCCUGGGGCUGAAGAAGGUCCCAAGGGUUCGGCUGUUCGCCGAUUAAAGUGGCACGUGAGCUGGGUUCAGAACGUCGUGAGACAGUUCGGUCCCUAUCUGUUGUGGGCGUUGGAGAUUUGAGGGGGUCUGACACUAGUACGAGAGGACCGUGUUGGACAGACCGCUAGUGUACCUGUUGUGGCGCCAGCUGCACCGCAGGGUAGCUAUGUCUGGAAGAGAUAAGUACUGAAAGCAUCUAAGUACGAAGCUCGCCCCAAGAUGAGAUCUCCCUUAAGGGUCGUCCCAGACCAGGACGUUGAUAGGCUGCAGGUGUAAAGGCAGUAAUGUCAAAGCCGAGCAGUACUAAUUACCCGUGAACUUUCUGC
rnacentral:rRNA from 1 species